rnacentral:rRNA from 1 species
CCUACGGGUGGCAGCAGUGAGGAAUCUUGGUCAAUGGCCGGAAGGCUGAACCAGCCAUGCCGCGUGAAGGUCAGUGCCCUAUGGGCGUUAAACUUCUUUUGUGCGGGAGCAAUCAUGGUCACGUGUGGCCAGACGAGAGUACCGUACGAAUAAGCAUCGGCUAACUCCGUGCCCGCAGCCGCGGUUAUACGGGGGCUGCAAGCGGUAUCCGGAUUGAUUGGGUUUAAAGGGUGCGUAAGCUGGGAGGUAAGUCAGCGGUGAAAUGCCCCCGCUCAACGGGGUGAAGGGCCAUUGAUACUGGCUUGCUGGAAUGCGGAGGCCGAGAGAGGAAUGUGUGGUGUAGCGGUGAAAUGCAGAGAUAUCACACAGAACACCGAUUGCGAAGGCAUCUCACGAAUCCGCGAUUGACGCUGAUGCACGAAAGCGUGGGGAUCAAACAGGAUUAGAUACCCGGGUAGUC